AUCCAUAUGAAUAGCUAUCUUAACAGAACACUUGAGAAAUUUUUGUAUUGAUCUGAACCUGUACUUAAUUGUUGAAAAGAAAGUUCUUCAAAAUUGGGCUAUAAUCUUGUAUUGAUUUUGUAUCCUAAGCAAUUAAUUACUAGUUAGAGCAUUUUAUACUCUCUAAAUAGAGAACAAAUUUAGAAAAAAAGACAAUUGGGCUUCAUUUUUUUUUUUUUUUUUUUGUUACAAAAUCUGCAGAGGAAAAGGGGUAAUGAGAAACAAUUCAGGGCCAACAAACAUCGUAGAUGUCUUUUAGGUUACAGUGAUCCUAGAAGUUGUAAAAGAGUGUUGUUUUGAUUAUUAUUGCAUGCUGAACUCAAAACUAUAUUCCUUAUGGGAAACCAUAACUUGCAUAAGAGGAAGUGGUCAUGUGGCACACUAAUGAGGACACUAGGUGGUGUUAGUGGCACGUUGGAGACUGUCUAAAGCAUUAAAUUCCUUUUUGCAUGUUAUAUCUCCUUGAAAUAGAGAUUUGACUUUUAAGAUUGAUAUCUAUUUUGGAGCAUUUUAAUUGUUGUCCAUUGCGAUUUAAGUAUUUUAUAAAUAUGCCAUCAUUAAACUUCUUUCUUUGAAGUUCUAAAUUUCUAAUUGAUGCUUGUAACCUUGAAUAAUCCCUGUGUGGAAGAUGUUGGGCUUCUUAUCCCUUACCUUGCAAAUCUGCCUCCAAGAAAUAAUGUGUGUGCAAAGCCCCACUCAAACUUUAUGCAAGAUUGAUAGAAAGAGCCCAUAGAAACUGAUAAUGGCAAACAGAAUGGCGAGGCCAAUGAAGUUAAAGAUCAAAUCAUCGGGGCUUCUUUAUUUCUCCCAGCCAGAAGAAACAAUCCCCACAUUACAAGGAAUUUUGGAAAGAACUUGGGGAUAUGAACAAAGAUUCUAAACUGCCAAUGAAAUGAGGAUCAUUAAGUUAGUCGCACAAAGUUAUAAGCAUGGAAAAUGGUGUUGUGCACUAUGGUGGAGAGUUUUAUAGUGAUGAUGACUUGCAAAGUUGGGCUUUAGUUUCAUCAUUUGAAGCCUUAAUGUUUCCAUUUCCUCCUCAUCAUCAGGAAAACAUUAAAGUUCAUUGCCCAUUGUGUUUUCUGAGAUUGACCUCAGGCAACCACUUAUUUGCAAAGUACCUGAAAUUGAACCGCAUGAAACUUUGGGGUUUUGGUACUGCAUAUCUCAUCAAACACAGUUAAAACCUAUUGGAGAAGCACAGUUUUAUAUUGGUGAAAAUUGUUAAGCAAGGAUGCACCUCAGAUAGCCAUGUCUGACAUUCUGGUGCAAGAUAUAUUUGAUAAGCUCCAUUGGUUGCAAAGCUUCAUAUGUUAGAAUAACAAAGCUCCCUACCUAUCUGCCCUACAUCAUUUACCUUGUCUAUAAAUUUUUAUGCCAAGUUCAUAGAUGCAACUAUGCUGAGCGAUGAGGAUCCAUUCAGCAUUGUGAGUGUAGCUUGUCAUGGAUCUCAAGAUGAAAUGAGGUCAACGAGUGAUACACAUGAAUUGGAAACUAUGCAAUUGAUGUUAUGCAUAUCUGUAAUUACAAUUUUCCCUAUCUUUUUUGUUUGAAUGUUAAUGGCUGGUUAUUAGGUUUAUCAUUCACUAUAGAGGCAGGUGGUGGUUUCUAAAGUAACAGAAAAAAUUGUUUGUACAAGUGCAUGAUUUUGUUAAAUUUCAUUUUUCUGAUCAUUAAUGACCUAAGAUAAUG